AUGCAGAAGAUCUGCUCCCUCAUCCAUCUCUCCUUCUUCUGGGCAGGAGUCAUGUCAGCAGUUGUGUUGGUGCCUCAAGAGCAAGCAGUCACUGUGCCUGUGGGAGGGUCUGCCACCCUCAGGUGCUCCAUGGAAGGAGAGACAAUCACUAACUUCUACAUGAACUGGUACAGGCAGACCCAGCAUAGUGCACUGACUUUCAUAUACCGAGAAGGGAACAUCUACGGCCUUGGCUUCGAGGGCAGGUUUCAAGGUGACAUUGAUAUUCCAAACAACCAGGCUGUACUUAAGAUUCUUAAGGCAUCAGAAAGUGAUGAAGGAUCUUACUACUGCGCCAGUGUCACCCACCCUGCUGCGGGCCUACUUCUGAGCAGCUCAAAAACCAUCGAGCUCUAUGUAGACCAGCAGUUCCAACAUGAUCGGCAUUUUCUCUUGAAUGAAUAA